rfam:Anaerobacillus macyae strain DSM 16346 super1, whole genome shotgun sequence.
AUAACCUUUAACGACAGUCCCGUGAGGCUGCAAAGGAAAAACGGCUAUGUACACACUGUACAUUUGUAUGCCCAAAACCCCUUUUGCCCUCAUGGCAAAAGGGGUUUUUUAUU